GCUAGUAAUCGCGGAUCAGCAUGCCGCGGUGAAUACGUUCCCGGGCCUUGUACACACCGCCCGUCACACCAUGAGAGUUGGAGAUACCCGAAGCCUAUGAGCUAACUUUUAGAGGCAGUAGUCGAAGGUAGAAUCAAUGAUUGGGGUGAAGUCGUAACAAGGUAUC
rnacentral:rRNA from 1 species